GUUUGUCUCCUCCCUCAUCUCUUCUUGAAGUGUGAAAAGCAGGAAGUGUCUGAUUUAGUUCAAACAGUCUGUUAAUGUGUCAGUAUGGGCUCCAGUGCACUGUCUCUCACACUCUUGCUGAUGUCCUUCAUCCACUCUGGACUCACUCAAGAUUUACCCAGAUCUACUCUGACUGUGACUCCAGACAA